AACGCAUCUUGCGCUCCUUGGUAUUCCGAGGAGCAUGCCUGUUUGAGUGUCAUUAAAUUCUCAACUACACUGAUUUUCAGUGUAGAUUGGAUUUGGGGGACCGUUUUUUUGCAGGCUUUUGUAAAAUGAAGUCAGCUCCCCUGAAAUUGAUGAGUGGUACCUUGGUAGAACCAUCUAGAGGUGUGAUAAUACAUUUAUGCCUUGGAUGUCUGCAUGAAAAAGGUUGUGCUGCUUCCUAACCUCACUAAUGACAAUCUUGACCUCAAAUCAGGUAGGACUACCCGCUGAACUUAA
rnacentral:misc_RNA from 1 species